rnacentral:rRNA from 1 species
CAGACCGCCAGCUAAGGUCCCAAAGUCAUGGUUAAGUGGGAAACGAUGUGGGAAGGCCCAGACAGCCAGGAUGUUGGCUUAGAAGCAGCCAUCAUUUAAAGAAAGCGUAAUAGCUCACUGGUCGAGUCGGCCUGCGCGGAAGAUGUAACGGGGCUAAACCAUGCACCGAAGCUGCGGCAGCGACGCUUAUGCGUUGUUGGGUAGGGGAGCGUUCUGUAAGCCUGUGAAGGUGUGCUGUGAGGCAUGCUGGAGGUAUCAGAAGUGCGAAUGCUGACAUAAGUAACGAUAAAGCGGGUGAAAAGCCCGCUCGCCGGAAGACCAAGGGUUCCUGUCCAACGUUAAUCGGGGCAGGGUGAGUCGACCCCUAAGGCGAGGCCGAAAGGCGUAGUCGAUGGGAAACAGGUUAAUAUUCCUGUACUUGGUGUUACUGCGAAGGGGGGACGGAGAAGGCUAUGUUGGCCGGGCGACGGUUGUCCCGGUUUAAGCGUGUAGGCUGGUUUUCCAGGCAAAUCCGGAAAAUCAAGGCUGAGGCGUGAUGACGAGGCACUACGGUGCUGAAGCAACAAAUGCCCUGCUUCCAGGAAAAGCCUCUAAGCAUCAGGUAACAUCAAAUCGUACCCCAAACCGACACAGGUGGUCAGGUAGAGAAUACCAAGGCGCUUGAGAGAACUCGGGUGAAGGAACUAGGCAAAAUGGUGCCGUAACUUCGGGAGAAGGCACGCUGAUAUGUAGGUGAAGUCCCUCGCGGAUGGAGCUGAAAUCAGUCGAAGAUACCAGCUGGCUGCAACUGUUUAUUAAAAACACAGCACUGUGCAAACACGAAAGUGGACGUAUACGGUGUGACGCCUGCCCGGUGCCGGAAGGUUAAUUGAUGGGGUCAGCGCAAGCGAAGCUCUUGAUCGAAGCCCCGGUAAACGGCGGCCGUAACUAUAACGGUCCUAAGGUAGCGAAAUUCCUUGUCGGGUAAGUUCCGACCUGCACGAAUGGCGUAAUGAUGGCCAGGCUGUCUCCACCCGAGACUCAGUGAAAUUGAACUCGCUGUGAAGAUGCAGUGUACCCGCGGCAAGACGGAAAGACCCCGUGAACCUUUACUAUAGCUUGACACUGAACAUUGAGCCUUGAUGUGUAGGAUAGGUGGGAGGCUUAGAAGUGUGGACGCCAGUCUGCAUGGAGCCGACCUUGAAAUACCACCCUUUAAUGUUUGAUGUUCUAACGUUGACCCGUAAUCCGGGUUGCGGACAGUGUCUGGUGGGUAGUUUGACUGGGGCGGUCUCCUCCUAAAGAGUAACGGAGGAGCACGAAGGUUGGCUAAUCCUGGUCGGACAUCAGGAGGUUAGUGCAAUGGCAUAAGCCAGCUUGACUGCGAGCGUGACGGCGCGAGCAGGUGCGAAAGCAGGUCAUAGUGAUCCGGUGGUUCUGAAUGGAAGGGCCAUCGCUCAACGGAUAAAAGGUACUCCGGGGAUAACAGGCUGAUACCGCCCAAGAGUUCAUAUCGACGGCGGUGUUUGGCACCUCGAUGUCGGCUCAUCACAUCCUGGGGCUGAAGUAGGUCCCAAGGGUAUGGCUGUUCGCCAUUUAAAGUGGUACGCGAGCUGGGUUUAGAACGUCGUGAGACAGUUCGGUCCCUAUCUGCCGUGGGCGCUGGAGAACUGAGGGGGGCUGCUCCUAGUACGAGAGGACCGGAGUGGACGCAUCACUGGUGUUCGGGUUGUCAUGCCAAUGGCACUGCCCGGUAGCUAAAUGCGGAAGAGAUAAGUGCUGAAAGCAUCUAAGCACGAAACUUGCCCCGAGAUGAGUUCUCCCUGACCCUUUAAGGGUCCUGAAGGAACGUUGAAGACGACGACGUUGAUAGGCCGGGUGUGUAAGCGCAGCGAUGCGUUGAGCUAACCGGUACUAAUGAACCGUGAGGCUUAACCUU